UAGGGAAUCUUCGGCAAUGGGGGCAACCCUGACCGAGCAACGCCGCGUGAGUGAAGAAGGUUUUCGGAUCGUAAAGCUCUGUUGUAAGAGAAGAACGAGUGUGAGAGUGGAAAGUUCACACUGUGACGGUAACUUACCAGAAAGGGACGGCUAACUACGUGCCAGCAGCCGCGGUAAUACGUAGGUCCCGAGCGUUAUCCGGAUUUAUUGGGCGUAAAGCGAGCGCAGGCGGUUAGAUAAGUCUGAAGUUAAAGGCUGUGGCUUAACCAUAGUACGCUUUGGAAACUGUUUAACUUGAGUGCAGAAGGGGAGAGUGGAAUUCCAUGUGUAGCGGUGAAAUGCGUAGAUAUAUGGAGGAACACCGGUGGCGAAAGCGGCUCUCUGGUCUGUAACUGACGCUGAGGCUCGAAAGCGUGGGGAGCAAACAGGAUUAGAUACCCUGGUAGUCCACGCCGUAAACGAUGAGUGCUAGGUGUUGGGUCCUUUCCGGGACUCAGUGCCGCAGCUAACGCAUUAAGCACUCCGCCUGGGGAGUACGGCCGCAAGGUUG
rnacentral:rRNA from 1 species